rnacentral:rRNA from 1 species
GAUGAACGCUGGCGGCGUGCUUAACACAUGCAAGUCGAACGGUGAACACGGAGCUUGCUCUGUGGGAUCAGUGGCGAACGGGUGAGUAACACGUGAGCAACCUGCCCCUGACUCUGGGAUAAGCGCUGGAAACGGCGUCUAAUACUGGAUAUGUGACGUGAUCGCAUGGUCUGCGUCUGGAAAGAAUUUCGGUUGGGGAUGGGCUCGCGGCCUAUCAGCUUGUUGGUGAGGUAAUGGCUCACCAAGGCGUCAACGGGUAGCCGGCCUGAGAGGGUGACCGGCCACACUGGGACUGAGACACGGCCCAGACUCCUACGGGAGGCAGCAGUGGGGAAUAUUGCACAAUGGGCGCAAGCCUGAUGCAGCAACGCCGCGUGAGGGAUGACGGCCUUCGGGUUGUAAACCUCUUUUAGCAGGGAAGAAGCGAAAGUGACGGUACCUGCAGAAAAAGCGCCGGCUAACUACGUG